AUUUUAUCAAAAAUUUCGUUUGAUCGUGUUCUUUCUCUUCCUCUCUCUCUCACUCUCUGUCCCAAAAAUAUUUAACCCAGAUACGAACAACGAUCCGUGUGCCAAGAAUAUUUCAUUCGAUUCCUUUUUUUUCUCUAAUUUUCGAAUCCAGUGGACCUGAAUCGCAAACACAAGGUGUCCCUUAGAGGCGCCAGCAGUGGAGAGAUAUCACGGGAUGCUUUGCUUGCUAAAGUGUCUCAAGAGAGGGAGCUACGCAGUUAUGCAAGACGUGCUAAUGCUGCAGCUAUUUAUAUUCAGAGAGUUUGGAGGUCUUAUAUUGUGAGAAAGAAGGCAGCUAUAGAGAUCCAAGAGGAGUGGGAGAUUUUACUGAGUUGCCGUUCUGAUGCACUGACCAAGAGUUGGGUAUCAAGCAUAGUAUUGAGACCGUUCCUCUUCUUUAUCAGAUCUUUGUCUAUCCAACAUCAAAAGAUACAGUCAAGAAAUAUACACUACAUCCAAACUUGCUUUAAGAUUCUAUUGGAAAGCAUCAACUCUAAUGGUAUGCUUUUUUUUUGUUUAGAAUAUUUGGGAAAAAUGCAAGGCAAAUCAUAUUAAUGUAUUAAUGUUUUAUUAUGUUUUGUAUGUUUGAAAAUUAAUAAAAAUGGAAUAUUUUUUUAAUU